UUUUUAUGUGGACCUCUGUCCUUGUGCCUUUGGUACUUGGAUAGAACCACAUAAGCAGGUGAAACUUCUUAGAGGAACUGGCGUCCAAAAAGGCGCACGAGAAAGAGCAAUAACAGGUCUGUGAUGCCCUAAGAUGUCCGGGGCCGCACGCGUGCUACAAUGACGAUGCUACUGAGCAUGAUUAACUUGUCCGAAAGGAUUGGUGAAACUGUUCAAUCAUCGUCGUGACUGGGAUUGGGGUUUGCAAUUGUCCCCCAUGAACCAGGAAUUCCUAGUAAGCACAAGUCAUAAGCUUGUGCUGAUUACGUCCCUGCCCUUUGUACACACCGCCCGUCGCUACUACCGAUUGAAUGGUUUAGCAAGGACAUUGGAUUGAGCUCUUGCGGUUACGACUGCUUGGGUUUGAGAAGAUGUCCGAACUUGAUCAUUUAGAGGAAGUAAAAGUCGUAACAAGGUUUCCGUAGGUGAACCUGCGGAAGGAUCAUUA
rnacentral:rRNA from 1 species